ACCUACUUAACUCAGUGGUUAGAGUACUGCUUUCAUACGGCGGGAGUCGUUGGUUCAAAUCCAAUAGUAGGUAGAACUUAUAGGUA
rnacentral:tRNA from 1 species